rnacentral:rRNA from 1 species
GUAGGGGGCAAGCGUUUUCCGGAAUUAUUGGGCGUAAAGCGCACGCAGGUGGCUUUUUAAGUCGGAUGUGAAAUCUCUUAGCAAAACUAAGAAAAUGCAUCCGAAACUGGAUUGCUUGAGGUCGGGAGAGGAGAGUGGAAUUCUCGGUGUAGCGGUGAAAUGCGCAGAUAUCGAGAAGAACACCAUUAGCGAAGGCGGCUCUCUGGAACGAUACUGACACUAAGGUGCGAAAGCUAGGGUAGCAAACAGGAUUAGAUACCCUGGUAGUCCUAGCUGUAAACGAUGGGCACUGGAUGUAGGGAGAUAUCGACUCUUCCUGUGUCGUAGCUAACGCGUUAAGUGCCCCGCCUGGGGAGUACGACCGCAAGGUUAAAACUCAAAGGAAUUGACGGGGACCCGCACAAGCGGUGGAGCAUGUGGCUCAAUUCGAUGCAACACGAAGAACCUUACCAGGGCUUGACAUUCUGGUGGUAGUGAUCUGAAAGGUGAACGACCCUUCGGGGAGCCAGAACAGGUGGUGCAUGGCUGUCGUCAGCUCGUGUCGUGAGAUGUUGGGUUAAGUCCCGUAACGAGCGCAACCCUUAUCCCAUGUUUGCUAACAUUUAGUUGAGGACUCUUGGGGGACUGCCGGUGUUAAACCGGAGGAAGGUGAGGAUGACGUCAAGUCAGUAUGCCCCUUAUGUCCUGGGCUGCACACGUGCUACAAUGGUUUAUACAAUGAGAUGCGAGACUGUGAAGUGGAGCAAAUCUCAAAAAGUAAGCCUAAGUUCGGAUUGAAGUCUGAAAUUCGACUUCAUGAAGCCGGAAUCGCUAGUAAU